rnacentral:rRNA from 1 species
AACCGCGAAUGGCUCAUUAAAUCAGUCGAGGUUCCUUAGAUGGUGCAUAUCCUACUCGGAUAACUGUGGCAAUUCUAGAGCUAAUACGUGCAAACAAGCUCCGACCCUCCCUUCGCGGGGCGGGGAAGAGCGCUUUUAUUAGAACAAAACCGACGCGGGUGUCCGGUCUCGCCGUUUCGGCGGCGCAGCAGCGGCCCGGUCUCAGCUUUGGUGACUCUGAAUAACAUUCCGCAGAUCGCACGGCCCUCGAGCCGGCGACGCAUCUUUCAAGUGUCUGCCCUAUCAACUGUCGACGGUACGCGACAUGCCUACCGUGGUUGUAACGGGUAACGGGGAAUCAGGGUUCGAUUCCGGAGAGGGAGCAUGAGAAACGGCUACCACAUCCGAGGAAGGCAGCAGGCGCGCAAAUUACCCACUCCUCGAACGGGGAGGUAGUGACGAAAAAUAACGAUGCGGGACUCUAUCGAGGCCCCGUAAUCGGAAUGAGUACACUUUAAACCCUUUAACGAGGAUCAAUUGGAGGGCAAGUCUGGUGCCAGCAGCCGCGGUAAUUCCAGCUCCAAUAGCGUAUAUUAAAGUUGUUGCAGUUAAAAAGCUCGUAGUUGGAUCUCGGAGCCGAACGCGUGGUCCGCCUCGCGGCGGUUUUACUGCGUGGGUUGGCGGGUUUCCCUUCGGGGGCUCGUCGCUCUUUGAGUUCGGCCUUACUGCCGGUGGUCCCUCGGUGCCCUUCGCGGGUUGACGGGGAGCCCCAGCGCUCGAGGUGCUCUUGACUGAGUGUCCCGCAGCGACCGGCGAGUUUACUUUGAAAAAAUUAGAGUGCUCAAAGCAGGCCUUGUUGCCGCCCGAAUAGUGGUGCAUGGAAUAAUGGAAUAGGACCUCGGUUCUAUUUUGUUGGUUUUCGGAGCCAGAGGUAAUGAUUAAAAGGAACAGACGGGGGCAUUCGUAUUGCGGCGUUAGAGGUGAAAUUCUUGGAUCGUCGCAAGACGGACUACUGCGAAAGCAUUUGCCAAGCAUGCUUUCAUUAAUCAAGAACGAAAGUCAGAGGUUCGAAGACGAUCAGAUACCGUCGUAGUUCUGACCAUAAACGAUGCCGACUGGCGAUCGGCCGGAGUUGCUACAAUGACUCGGCCGGCAGCCUCUGGGAAACCGUGAGUCUAUGGGUUCCGGGGGAAGUAUGGUUGCAAAGCUGAAACUUAAAGGAAUUGACGGAAGGGCACCACCAGGAGUGGAGCCUGCGGCUUAAUUUGACUCAACACGGGAAAACUCACCCGGCCCGAACACCGUGAGGAUUGACAGAUUGAGAGCUCUUUCUCGAUUCGGU